rnacentral:rRNA from 1 species
UACAGAGGUGGCAAGCGUUGUUCGGAAUUACUGGGCGUAAAGGGCGUGUAGGCGGUCUUCUAAGUCAGACGUGAAAUCCCCCGGCUUAACCGGGGAACUGCGUCCGAUACUGGAUGGCUUGAGUUCGGGAGAGGGAUGCGGAAUUCCAGGUGUAGCGGUGAAAUGCGUAGAUAUCGUAAGGAAGACCAGUGGCGAAGGCGGGUCUCUGGACAGUUCCUGACGCUGAGGCACGAAGGUCAGGGGAGCAAACGGG